GAUGAACGCUGGCGGCGUGCCUAAUACAUGCAAGUCGAGCGAACAGAUGAGGAGCUUGCUCCGCGGACGUGAGCGGCGGAGGGGAGAGUAACACGUGGAUAACCUACCUAUAAGACGGGGAAAACUUCGGGAAACCGGAGCUAAUACCGGAUAAUAUAUUGAACCGCAGGGUUGAAUAGUGAAAGACGGCGUUGCUGGCACUUAUAGAUGGAUACGCGCCGCAUUAGCUAGUUGGGAAGGUAACGGCUUACCAAGGCAACGAUGCGUAGCCGACGUCAUAGGGUGGUCGCCCACCCUGGAACGUAGACAGCGUCCAUGCUCCUACGGGACGCAGCAGUAGGCUAUCUUCCGCAGAGGGCGAGAGCCUUGCGGAGCGACCCCACGUGAGUGACGGAGGUCUUCGGAUCGUAAAGCUCUGUUAUUAGGGAAGAACCAAUGUCGACGUAGCUGUGCCCUUCUUGACGGUACUUAAUCAAAAAGCCCCGGCUAACUACGUG
rnacentral:rRNA from 1 species